GAGACACAGUGCUUCAAGUGAGUAAGACGUUGACUCGCUAACCUGGAGGUUACGUGUUCGAUCCCUGCGUUGGCAGAGAAAGUUUCCCUUGCCAGUGGUGCUGGAGCCUCCUCCGAAGGCGGCUAACCAAAUUGGAAAGAUCCAGACAGUUGGAAAUAGAUAUUCUUGUGGAAACUUUUUCUCGCAGACCUUGAUAAUAAGGCAAAAUAAUCUUGGAAGAGUAUAAUGAUGUAUGAUAACAACGAGAGAACCCAACCACACCUUUUGAAUAUUACACCAUCAAUUUAAUUCUGGAAAAGAAUGCAUUUGAACCAA